rnacentral:rRNA from 1 species
CAGUCGUACUUACGGGUAAUCAGCCUUUUGGGUGUGAUUUUGUGGAGCGUGAGGAGUUAAACGCCUUCAUGCCUGCAUAUUCGUGCACUUUGGGUGUACUUGCCCGUGUGUAAGCUGACAUCAAUUUUGGUGGUCAUAAAAUGAUUGGAGGAAUGUAGCUUUGAUCUCGUAUCGAAGUGUUAUAGACUCUGGUAGAUGUGACGGUUGGGGAUUGAGGAUUGGCAACGGAUACCCCUUCGGGGGGCCUACCCGUCUGAUCUCUGAAGGUUGCUCCGGUGCCGAAAGCGUGCUUACGGUCAUCGAAAGUGAUUUUACAAAAGGUUAGAACGGUUAAAUUCGUUAAGGAUGUUGACGU